AUUAGGCCUACUUAUACAUGUUAUAAGCCUCAUGGUGAUAGUCAGUAAUUUAUCUGGAGGAAAAUGAACAAGGAAGAUACAAAAAGUACAUGUAGUCUUCAGUUCCAGAACAGACAUAGUUGUCAGAAUUUUUUUUUUUUAAUUAUCUGGUUUAUCUGUUCAAAUAAAGACAGAAGAAAUCUAUCUAUUACUAAAAUAUAACUGUUCUGAACUGCAUUUUAUUUAAUGAACGUAUAGCACUGUCAACAUGUACAAUGUACCUGACAACAAACAAGCAACAAUCUUUUAGUUCACAAGUACAACAGCUUGAUCCAUAUGUGAUCCAAAAUGUGCAGAAUGCUAUUAUGGUGGGAGGUUCAAAUUCACUUUAUACUUCUCUACUUUGAAUAUUAUAUCCUAUAUCACCUUCAUUGCUGGUGAUCAUCAUGUCAUGUACAUGUAGAACUUAUUUUUAAACUUCUAUUGGAAACCAAAUUGGUCAAAUAUGUCUUCAUAACGAGUUGAAAAUAUGGAAUGUCUUGGACUAGGUACUGUGGCUUCCAAAGAUUUAAAGAUUGUCUGAUGGUCUUAAA